rnacentral:snoRNA from 1 species
AACCCAUGGUGAGGGCACCUUCUCAAUAAAUAUUUAUAUCUCUCCCAUACAUUAUAUAAGGUCUCCAAAUCCAUUGUACAAAGGAAGAGAUAUCAUUCCUCAAUUU